CAGAGGGUGCAAGCGUUGUUCGGAAUUACUGGGCGUAAAGGGCGCGUAGGCGGUUUAGUGAGUCAGACGUGAAAGCCUGGGGCUUAACCCCAGAAGUGCGUUUGAAACUACUAGGCUAGAGUGCAUUAGAGAAUGGCGGAAUUCCCAGUGGAGAGGUGAAAUUCGUAGAUAUUGGGAGGAACACCGGUGGCGAAGGCGGCCAUUUGGGAUGCAACUGACGCUGAGGCGCGAAAGCGUGGGUAGCAAACAGGAUUAGAUACCCUGGUAGUCCACGCUGUAAACUAUGGAUACUCGCUGUGGCUGGUAUUGACCCCGGCCGUAGCCAAGUUAACACGUUAAGUAUCCCGCCUGGGGAGUACGGUCGCAAGAUUA
rnacentral:rRNA from 1 species